GAUGAAGAACGCAGCGAAAUGCGAUACGUAAUGUGAAUUGCAGAAUUCAGUGAAUCAUCGAAUCUUUGAACGCAUAUUGCGCUCUUUGGUAUUCCGAAGAGCAUGCUUGUUUGAGUAUCAGUAAACACCUCAACCUCUUCUUGAUUUUUCAAAAGGAGGGUGGACUUGAGCUAUCCCAACAACCUUUACCGGUCGGCGGGCGGCUUGAAAUGCAGGUGCAGCUGGACUUUUAUCUGAGCUAAAAGCAUAUCUAUUUAGUCCUCGUCAAACAGGAUUAUUACUUUUGCUGCAGCUAACAUAAAGGAUAAUUGUCCUCUUUGCUCACUGAUGCAGGAUUUUACGACACUUUAUGUGUUGUUCAACUCGAUCUCAAAUCAAGUAAGACUACCCGCUGAACUUAAGCAUAUCAAUAAGCGGAGGA
rnacentral:misc_RNA from 1 species